AUUUUAAUGAACAUCAAUAACAAGACAAUGCAAGUAAAAUCACAUGAGAAGAAGACAUUUCCAAUAAUUUGCAUACCCUUACCACUAAAAUUAAUACAGAUGGAUAUGCACAUGGCAGCAGAAAUUGGUAUAUUUUCAUGGCUGAUGGCUUGCCUUGUAAUUUUCUUUGCAUAAAUUUUGUAUAUACAAUGGGAUAUUUUCCUGUAAAAAGUAUCUUAAGAUGAUAUCCCAUAUAGAAAAUGCACAUCCAAUAACCUACAUCAAAGUUGACGCUUCCUAAAAUUUCCAAGGUAAUUGCUGCCUCUCAUCUCAGAGCUGCUUGAGAAGCUGUAAUCCAAUUAAACUUUGGCCAGUGAGAGAAUCACCAUGGAAGUUUAGUGAGAGAAUCACCAUAGAAGUUUUACUUCGUGUCUUUCUUCUGACAUCUGAAAAUGAAGCCAUCUUCAUAUGCCUUCAAACUCAAGAUUGACUUAGCAAAUGGCAGAUGCUGCUGAUGCCAAUGUUUUAUUGCGGAAUUACUUUGAUUUGGCAUGCACAAACUAAGGAACAUCGCCCAUAUGUGGCUGUGCCUGUAGGGUUGAAUGCUCAGCUUCUUCAUCAUCAGAUGUGGUAAAAGACAAACUUGGGGGCUCCUAAAGGCCAACAAUGAAACACAUAAAUAAGCAAAGCAUAAUCAUUGAUUAGUGCAAUAUAUCUUAACUAUAGGAACGAUGUAGAAUCUCAUAUUUUGUCCAGAAUUUACUUGUUGAUGGUGGCGAUGCUGGAGAGCAGUUACUGCUCUCAUGAUAACAUAUAUUGGAAGAACAAUCCCAGCAAUUCGUAGAAAUAACAACAUAAGCAAUGGGAAGGAAAUUUCAUUGGUAUUAAGGAUGACAGGAAGAGUAUGCCUUAGAAUCAAAAGAACCAUAAAAGCUACAGCAACUGAGCGACAGCAGAUUGAGUUUCUUGUUGAAGCUGAAUCCUCUUCAUACUCAGGAUUAAGGAAAUUACGGUCAGUUGACACCAUUGCUAUAAAGCGGGGACCAUGCAAGUCUCUUCCUGAAUUCUCCCAAUUUCCCCUGAGGUUCACUGGAAUACGUCCAAUUUGAAACAGAGGUGGGGGAGCUGUGUAACCAGGUGUGAAUUGCUGAUGGCAUAUCUCACAUAUGGUGUUACCCUUCUCAUUACACCACCUCUGAACACAUCUGCGGUGAGCAUACUGCACAUGUGAAGAGUCAGUAUGAUUGUCUAACAAAGGUUGUAGAAGCAACGUGGUUAAAUCAACACCUUCAGGAUUGAGCCAGAAACAUGUGUACAGCUUAGCUAUAGACAAUUUACAGAACUGCAAAGAAAUAAGUAGGAUAUCCUUGCUGUUGGGCUGGAAUGUGCAAGCAAUUUUUGAUUAUCAAGUAGCCUUUGUUGCAGUAUCACUGCAUCAAAUGCUAUGCAACAAGAAGCCUAUGUGCUUAAUAUAACAUGUAGAAGUCCACUUUCCAUCUUGAAAACUGACAUGAUAUUAUCAAAUCCUUUUCUGUUUGGAACACGAUGAUUCAGUGCAAAUUUCCACAGUAUAAUAGAGGAAGCAAAAUCCUUAAGCUCACCAAGAUUUGAAUAAUGAAAUGGUUAUAUGAAUGAAACUAUUUGCAGUGACAGAUCUAAUGUUUCAAAUUACACGAGGAAAAAUAAUUUGGUUUUGGCCAUUGAAGGAAGGAAGGAAGGAAUAAGGCCGCCAUCAAGACAAUAAUAAUCUCACCUUUCAAAACAAAUUAUUGUUCUUCCUUCAAACAUUAAAAACAAUUAUAAAAAUAACAGUAAAGUCAAAUGUCAAACUCAGUGAUUGAUUGAAAACGAAAUUUUUUAAACCCCAAAUUGGUAAAAUAGCCAAAAGAAAAUCUAAUUUGGCAAUUAACUUGACAGUCAAAUCAGUUAAAUGGAAAGAGACAUGGACCAAUAUUGUCGAAUAAUUCAUAAAAAAAAAAAUAUUGCAUAUAAAAUGGAAAAUGUUCUUUUAAGCUCAAAACAAAUAUACAUUUCCAAAGCUUGAAACUAUAUGAGCAAAUAAAAGCCUUACUAACCUUCAGGCUCCCACAACAAGAGCAAGGUGUCUCCAUAUUGGAAUCUUCAUCCUCGUCCUGGCAUAUCCUGCACUCCACCAUUUUCAUGGGAGUA
rnacentral:misc_RNA from 1 species